GCGUCCGCUCAGAUCGCUCCUCGCAAUCCAUCAUCGUGAAUCGCGUCCGCUUCCUCCCGCUCUCUCCAUCCGCGAAUCGUGUCCGUGGAGUCUUCGCAAUCCAUCACCGCGAAUCGCGUCCGCCCGCUUCCUCCAUCUCUCUCUAGCCGUGAGAAACCGCGUCCGCUUCCUCCUGCUCUCUCCAUCUGCGAAUCGCGUCCUGCAAUCCCAGCCGCGAGAAACUGUGUCCGCUUCCUCCGCUCAUUCCCUGCUCUCUCCAUCCACGAAUCGUGUCCGCUUCCUCGAAUCACGUAUGCUUCCCUACUCCCCAAGGUUUUCUUCGCCCUCCGUCGGGAUCCACAGAUUCCCCAUCCACCCUCCGCUCGGAUCGACAGACGCAAUCCCUGCUCUCUCCUCGCCCUCCGCCCGGAUCACCAGGUCAUACUUAUGGCGUCGCCACCACAACCAAAGCAGCUGGUGCUCGCUAUGUCAUCCACGGAUUCGGACCUGGCUGCCUUGGACCUCCACACCGGCGUGGAGGACUCAUCCAUGGAUCUAGGCCCAGCUGCCUGGGACCUCCGCACCCGGUGUGGAGGACAUUUGCCUCCGCCCCUUCGCUUCCCACCCUCGGUCGCUCGCCUCAGUUGUCGACCGCUUCCUCGCCUUCGCUCAGGCUUUUCCCGCUGGCCACAACUCUAGGACCAUCCACAUCUACUACUGGGACAAGGUAAGCACGGUCUGCAUAAAACCCCGAACGACGCUCUUGAACUCUGAACCAUGACCCCAAGUCGUUUCCUGAUUUCAAUUCCAGCCGCAAGUGGUCGUUUAGAGCUUGUGCAUUACUGAAAGGAAAAAUCCCUAUACCAAGCCAAUCUACUUGGUUCUUUAGUUCGAUUUUAUUUUAUUAUUGGUUAUUAAUGUUUCAAUUGCUGAAGUUAUACUUUGCAUCUGGUUACUGCAUAACUUACUAUUAUGUAUUGCACUGAUUCUUAAUUUUCAAGUUUGCUGACAUUGGAACCCAGUAACUAUGCAAUCUGAAGGGUGAGAUAAAGAAUUAUAGCUAUUUAUCUUUAUUUUUCUUCUCAUAUAUUCAUGUGUGAUACUUAGACCUUCUUUGCUUUGGUUCAGUGGUAUAAUCUGCAUCUUAGACUGGGCGGAUAUUAUUAACGCUCACAUAGUUCCUGGACCUAGGAUUGUAGAUGGCUUGAAGUUGAAGGUACUUUAUGACAUAUAUGCGUAAGCCUUUUGCAAUUACUGAGUUAAAGAGAAUAGUCAAUGCUACAACUGCUAAUAUCUAAUAUAUUGCAUUUCUCAUAGUAACUAUUGUGUUCUGGCAUUGAAGGGUUUACCUAAAGGAAAGGACUACUUUUGCUUGCUGAAAUGAGCUCAGCUGGCAACCUUUCUUAGACUACACUGCUGCGGUUGUAAAGAUUAUCGAGCAACAUCCUGCUUUGUAAUAGGAUCUAUAUCAGUAAAUCCUGCAUCUUGGUCUCUAGCACCGUCGAGCCCUGCAUUCAUCCAUGCCACUCUUGGAGUUUAGAUGGCUGCUGGAGGAUAUGCCCUUGGGAAACAAUAUAAUACUCCCAUUUUUGUGAGUGUGUUUUUGCCAUUCGGUUCUUGUUGGAUGGCUCACUUGCUUCUUGUUGACUGGGGAUUAGGUGUGUUGGGUUGUGGCCACUAGCCGGCGUCAGCUAGGAACAACAACCUGUAGUAGGUGUCAAUUGAGGCGACAUUGUGUCAGGAAGCAGAAGACAUGCACGCAAUUGGUGAAUGACAACUUUGCAUCUGUGAUUUGGCCCAAGAAAAUUUGUUCUUAACACUUGGUGGGAAUAAAAAGUAACAGAGAGAUAGUGAUGGAUGGGCAGGAGAGGCGAGGGUCGCCUCACCGUAGAUGGAACCCACGAGGCGCGCAAGGAGUGGCGCCGGCGCGCCUUCUCUGGCUCCUUGCUCCGCUCCAAUGGCAUCAAUGUCCAUGUGCCACAUCAUGGAGCGGAUGCAGCACAAUUGGCUAGUACCAAGAAGCAGAAGAAGAAAACACCUGGGAGCAGUAAUGCCAACCAUGGUCAUCCAAGACAUAAGCGUCGGCACGCAGACAAGUAAAACAUUGAUCAACCAUGGUCAUUAUUUUUUUAUAACUGAUACAACCAUUAUUUUCCCUAUACUAUAGAUCCAUUUCCCCUUUAGGUUUGGGAAUAAUACAAAAUAUUGUUGUGUAAGAUAGUGUUUGGCUUUCCAUGGCAUUUUGAGUUUUCGACUUGAGUAUUUGAUUUUGCAUCGUGCAGAUCAUGGAAGUUUGACCAUGUUACCUUUCACUGAGUUUGUUGUCUGGUAUAGGCUCCAUCACCUAUCAUCGCCGAACCUUAUUGUGUAUCUACAGUUCUACACACUAGAAUAUUGUGUUUCUGCCCCCAAUUUUUUUGAUUGAUCUUUUAGUGAUAUAUAUCUCUACUACUCUAUAUGUUCUUAGAGUGGGCGUCCACCAUCUCUCGUGAAGCCUGCCCCCGCCGGCUCUCCUCGCGUCCAAGGAAGAUUGAUCUUGUAGAUUGGCUAGAUAGAGAUUUUAGAUGAUCUGAAUCUAACUGUUUUCACUACAUUAAGUUCUGAAUCUAACCGUUUUCACUAUAUUAUUGUUGUUUGCCUU